GGUAGAGGAGCGUCGUGUAAGCCGACGAAGGUGGAUCGAGAGGUCUGCUGGAGGUAUCACGAGUGCGAAUGCUGACAUGAGUAACGACAAGGGGAGUGAAAAACUCCCCCGCCGGAAGACCAAGGGUUUCUGUUCGACGCUAAUCGGAGCAGAGUGAGUCGGCCCCUAAGGCGAGGCCGAAAGGCGUAGUCGAUGGGAAACGGGUCAAUAUUCCCGUACCUCACAGGAUUGCGAUGGGGGGACGAAGAAGGCUAGGUGAGCCAGGCGUUGGUUGUCCUGGUGAAAGCCAGUAGGCUGAGGGUUCAGGCAAAUCCGGAUCCUCAAGGCCGAGAGGCGAGACGAAGGCACCACGGUGCCGAAGUCAUCGAUGCCACGCUUCCAGGAAAAGCCUCUAAGCUUCAGAUUCUGUGGGACCGUACCCCAAACCGACACAGGUGGUCAGGUAGAGAAUACCCAGGCGCUUGAGAGAACUCGGGUGAAGGAACUAGGCAAAAUGGUGCCGUAACUUCGGGAGAAGGCACGCCGCGCUAGUGUGAAGGCCCUCGCGGCCGGAGCACGAGGCGGUCGAAGAUACCAGGUGGCUGCAACUGUUUAUUAAAAACACAGCACUCUGCAAACGCGCAAGCGGACGUAUAGGGUGUGACGCCUGCCCGGUGCCGGAAGGUUAAUUGAUGGUGUUAGCGCAAGCGAAGCUCCUGAUCGAAGCCCCGGUAAACGGCGGCCGUAACUAUAACGGUCCUAAGGUAGCGAAAUUCCUUGUCGGGUAAGUUCCGACCUGCACGAAUGGCGUAAUGAUGGCCACGCUGUCUCCACCCGAGACUCAGUGAAAUUGAAAUCGCCGUGAAGAUGCGGUGUACCCGCGGCUAGACGGAAAGACCCCGUGAACCUUUACUACAGCUUCACACUGGAUGCUGAUGUUGCUUGUGUAGGAUAGCUGGGAGGCUUGGAACCCCGGACGCCAGUUCGGGUGGAGCCGACCUUGAAAUACCAGCCUGGCAUCAUUGGCGUUCUAACUCAGGUCCGUGAUCCGGAUCGAGGACAGUGUGUGGUGGGUAGUUUGACUGGGGCGGUCUCCUCCCAAAGCGUAACGGAGGAGCACGAAGGUACCCUCAGCACGGUUGGAAAUCGUGCAGUGAGUGCAAGAGCAUAAGGGUGCUUGACUGCGAGACAGACACGUCGAGCAGGUACGAAAGUAGGUUCUAGUGAUCCGGUGGUUCUGUAUGGAAGGGCCAUCGCUCAACGGAUAAAAGGUACUCCGGGGAUAACAGGCUGAUACCGCCCAAGAGUUCACAUCGACGGCGGUGUUUGGCACCUCGAUGUCGGCUCAUCACAUCCUGGGGCUGAAGUCGGUCCCAAGGGUAUGGCUGUUCGCCAUUUAAAGUGGUACGCGAGCUGGGUUUAGAACGUCGUGAGACAGUUCGGUCCCUAUCUGCCGUGGGCGUUGGACGUUUGAGAAGAGCUGCUCCUAGUACGAGAGGACCGGAGUGGACGCACCUCUGGUGUUCCGGUUGUCACGCCAGUGGCAUUGCCGGGUAGCUAUGUGCGGACAGGAUAACCGCUGAAAGCAUCUAAGCGGGAAGCCCCCUUCAAGAUGAGACGUCCCCGAGGCCUCGAGCCUCCUGAAGGGCCCAGCGAGACCAGCUGGUUGAUAGGCCGGGUGUGGAAGCGCUGCAAGGCGUUGAGCUAACCGGUACUAAUGGCCCGUGAGGCUUGACCAUAUAACACCCAAGCGGUCUG
rnacentral:rRNA from 1 species